rnacentral:tRNA from 1 species
GCAUUAUUGUCCGAGUGGUCAGGUAUGUAGCUGCAACCUAUAUCAGGUCGGUUCGAAUCCGACAUAAUGCUCCA